UCCCAGACUCCUACGGGAGGCAGCAGUGGGGAAUCUUCCGCAAUGGGCGAAAGCCUGACGGAGCAACGCCGCGUGAUCGAAUGAAGGCCUUCGGGUUGUAAAGAUCUGUUGACAGGGACGAAUAAGCCAUGCGAAUAGUUUGGUGUAUGACGGUACCUGUUUAGAAAGCUCCGGCUAACUACGUGCCAGCAGCCGCGGUAAUACGUAGGGGGCAAGCGUUAUCCGGAUUUACUGGGUGUAAAGGGAGCGUAGACGGAAUUGCAAGUCUGAUGUGAAAAUCCGGGGCCCAACCCCGGAACUGCAUUGGAAACUGUAUUUCUAGAGUGUCGGAGAGGCAAGUGGAAUUCCUGGUGUAGCGGUGAAAUGCGUAGAUAUCAGGAGGAACACCAGUGGCGAAGGCGGCUUGCUGGACGAUGACUGACGUUGAGGCUCGAAAGCGUGGGGAGCAAACAGGAUUAGAUACCCUAGUAU
rnacentral:rRNA from 1 species